rnacentral:rRNA from 1 species
GGGUUGUGAGGUUAAGCGACUAAGCGUACACGGUGGAUGCCCUGGCAGUCAGAGGCGAUGAAGGACGUGCUAAUCUGCGAUAAGCGUCGGUGAGGUGAUAUGAACCGUUAUAACCGGCGAUUUCCGAAUGGGGAAACCCAGUGUGUUUCGACACACUAUCAUUAACUGAAUCCAUAGGUUAAUGAGGCGAACCGGGGGAACUGAAACAUCUAAGUACCCCGAGGAAAAGAAAUCAACCGAGAUUCCCCCAGUAGCGGCGAGCGAACGGGGAGGAGCCCAGAGCCUGAAUCAGUGUGUGUGUUAGUGGAAGCGUCUGGAAAGGCGUGCGAUACAGGGUGACAGCCCCGUACACAAAAAUGCACAUAUUGUGAGCUCGAUGAGUAGGGCGGGACACGUGGUAUCCUGUCUGAAUAUGGGGGGACCAUCCUCCAAGGCUAAAUACUCCUGACUGACCGAUAGUGAACCAGUACCGUGAGGGAAAGGCGAAAAGAACCCCGGCGAGGGGAGUGAAAAAGAACCUGAAACCGUGUACGUACAAGCAGUGGGAGCCUCUUAAUGGGGUGACUGCGUACCUUUUGUAUAAUGGGUCAGCGACUUAUAUUCUGUAGCAAGGUUAACCGAAUAGGGGAGCCGAAGGGAAACCGAGUCUUAACUGGGCGUUAAGUUGCAGGGUAUAGACCCGAAACCCGGUGAUCUAGCCAUGGGCAGGUUGAAGGUUGGGUAACACUAACUGGAGGACCGAACCGACUAAUGUUGAAAAAUUAGCGGAUGACUUGUGGCUGGGGGUGAAAGGCCAAUCAAACCGGGAGAUAGCUGGUUCUCCCCGAAAGCUAUUUAGGUAGCGCCUCGUGAAUUCAUCUCCGGGGGUAGAGCACUGUUUCGGCAAGGGGGUCAUCCCGACUUACCAACCCGAUGCAAACUGCGAAUACCGGAGAAUGUUAUCACGGGAGACACACGGCGGGUGCUAACGUCCGUCGUGAAGAGGGAAACAACCCAGACCGCCAGCUAAGGUCCCAAAGUCAUGGUUAAGUGGGAAACGAUGUGGGAAGGCCCAGACAGCCAGGAUGUUGGCUUAGAAGCAGCCAUCAUUUAAAGAAAGCGUAAUAGCUCACUGGUCGAGUCGGCCUGCGCGGAAGAUGUAACGGGGCUAAACCAUGCACCGAAGCUGCGGCAGCGACACUAUGUGUUGUUGGGUAGGGGAGCGUUCUGUAAGCCUGUGAAGGUGGCCUGUGAGGGUUGCUGGAGGUAUCAGAAGUGCGAAUGCUGACAUAAGUAACGAUAAAGCGGGUGAAAAGCCCGCUCGCCGGAAGACCAAGGGUUCCUGUCCAACGUUAAUCGGGGCAGGGUGAGUCGACCCCUAAGGCGAGGCCGAAAGGCGUAGUCGAUGG